AGUUUGAAAAAUGCAUGGUGACAACUACCCCAUCUCCACCCAUUUUGAAUCACUCGGAAAAUAUUUUCUGAACUUUUACAUUUUUUAAUAUGCUUCAUAUUAAGACAUAUUCUUCACAACUCCCAAGGUAGAAUGUUAGAAAUAAGAAGAGAACAGGAAAACACAAAAUAUAGCUUGGACUAUGUGUGGUGUGUUACACCAAAGCAAAGGACUCAGAGGAAGGAAAAUGAAGGACCUCUUGUGCUGGCUGUAGACUGGUUUCUACUGAAACCUGUCAGGAUCUGAAGUGACGUCUUGAGCAGAAGCACCCCUGACAUGCCUUCAUGCAUUCAUUUUUAGAUCUAUCUUUCAAGAUAUUAUUUAUUUCAAAUCAUGCUGUCUUGUGGUGCAACACAUUUUUUCUGCAACAUUCUGGGGAUUGGUUAUUUUUAAAGGCUAGAUUUUUUUUUAUUCCUUUGGUAUAAAAGUCUUACAUGACAAUUGAUAAAAUAUUAACACAUGUUUUCAUAAUCAGAUUAUAUUCAGCUGUGUUCAUCAAGCUACUGCUUUACAUUAAUGGAAUUAUUGAUCUAACAUACAUAUGAAAAGCUUUAAUCAGCUUCUGCCUCAUCUGGAACCCUACUCACUCCCUAACUAUGUCUUGUGUGGGAAUUAUUAUACUGCCCAUAUUUUUCUUAUGUAUUUCUAAUAAACUAAACAUUGAGGAUAAGUAGCUUA